rnacentral:lncRNA from 1 species
UGGGGAUGGCCAAAAUAUGAGGAAAGGUAGCCCUUGGUGAAUGGCCAUACAAUAAUGGUGCCACAUUCUCAGAGUGUUCCUGCUGGGAAUGGUGUUCAUGGAGCAGGCAAGAAAGAGCACUUCUCCAGCCUCCAGCCUCACGUAUUCUCUCUCAGGCCUGCAGAGAAAACAUAAGAAUUCCCUCCAGAAAAAGAAACACAUCUGACAGAAUGUAAUGCCAGCCUGUACUAAACAACUCCCACAACUCCGAAUUCUGUUCCAUACAGCAAGGAUGGCUUCUUUUCUUGUUUAGGUUGGACAAGCUAUUGCAAACCCUGGAUCCUUAACAUUCUUCAGAGUCAUGGCCUGAAGAUCAAUUCCCCUGCCCUACCAAUAAAACCCACAAAAGAAAGCAAGACAAGACAAGAAAAACCCAAAAUCCCUCUUGUUCAUGUGAAACUUGGAUGCAGAUUAUGCCAAGACCUUCCCACCCUAAACACACACGACAGGCAGACCAGGGGUGAAACAGAGAGGAUGAGGGUGAAGGCAAGCUUACUUUUUGCCAUUACUAGUUCUCCAGGGGCCUCGAGGACUCUUAGAUCUAUCUGUUUUGAAUUGUAUAGGUCCCACGACAGCAGGAAAUAGGUGCCCGAAGCUCCUCUUUUUUUCUCCCCCAA